UACAGAGUUCCAGCCUAGCCUCUGAAGGCCAGGGGCAGGGCCCUGGGGCAGAGAGGUGGAAGUCAGGCUUCCCAUCAUGUGUCCCAUGCCUGCGUAGUGGUUGGAGCUUGAAGGCCCUCAGAGCACCAGCCUGAGAGGGGGAGAUGCAGAGUCUCCGGUAUGCCUGUCUGCUCCCCAGUGGCCAGAGGCUUUCUGAGGGCAAGAAUGUUGUGCCGAGGGUCUCUGAAUCCACGGGGCCUGCACAGUACCCUCCCCUCAACGCUCACAGAAUGAGCACAAGAAACCAUCAUCACAAUCAAGAUAAUGAACAUAUCCAUCAAACCCAAAAGUUCCCUAAUAUCUCCUUCUAGCACCUCCCCCUUGCCACCACGCUGUCGCCCUGGGCAACCACUGAUCUGCUGUCAUUAUCAAUUAGUUCACCUUUUCUAGAACUUUAUAGGCAAUUAUAUGAGGUACUGGAGAUUGAACUGGCUAUGUGCACACGGGGCAUGUACUCUGCCACUGAGCUGUACCCUCCCCCUCCACACAGUAUGUAUUUUUUAUGCCUUGCUUCCUUCACUCAACAGUUAUUUUGAGUUUCAGUCAUGCUUUCGUGUGUAUCAGUUGUUCAUUCCUUUUUCCUGUCGACUGGUGUUCCAUCGAAUGCCUGCACCGUGGUUCCUUUAUUCAUUUGCUUGUUGAUGGACAUUUGAGAAGUUCCCCAUGUUUAGCUAGCCCAAACAAAGUUACUGUGAGCCUUCAAGGAUGAACUUUUGUGAGGCCCUGGAU